CUGAUUCCUCUGAUUCCUCUGCUUCUGUGGAUGAGGAAGAAGAAAGCUCUGAGCUCCACCACUGACCUGAAUGAACCUGUAGAGAAUAUAGAGUUGGACGCUUGUCCUGUAUAUGAGAACGUCUCAGACUUGCAGGUCGUCACUGCAGCACAGACAAAAGACA